GGUUAUAUAACGCUCCCUGCCGGCCGGAAGCUGAAUCUUAUACGGUAGCAUAGUUUUUCCCCUCCCGCGUUUCCGUAGGCUCCUGCCCUGCCCUCGUUCCGCGUCUUCCUGGAAAAACACACGUGGAUUUCAACAGACCACUACCAGCCUAGCCCAGAGUCCCAGACUAGAGUGAAGAAGCGACCGAAGCACAAUAACAACAUCAUGGCAAGCCAAGGACUUGCUUACGACGGUUGCAACUUCUUCAGGCAGCGCCUCGUUCUGUCCACAUUGAGCGGGAAAAGGCUUAAAAUCCGGAAUAUUAGGUCCAAAGACGACAACCCGGGGAUUCGAGAUUUUGAAGCCAGUUUCAUCAGACUGCUGGACAAAGUUACUAAUGGCUCCAGAAUAGAAAUCAAUCAAACAGGCACCGUGCUCUUCUACCAGCCCGGCUUACUAAACGGGGGAUCCGUAGAACAUGACUGUUGUCUACAGCGCUCCAUAGGCUACUACCUAGAGGCCCUGCUCAUGUUGGCUCCCUUCAUGAAGAACUCUCUAAAGGCCACUCUGCGCGGUGUCACCAAUGAUCCCGUGGACCCGACAGUGGAUCGGCUUAAGUCCACAGCUCUUCCUCUGAUGAAGAAAUUUGGCAUUGACGGAGAAGGCUUUGACCUAAAGGUGAUAAAGAGGGGAAUGGCUCCCGGUGGAGGAGGUGAGGUCCUUUUCACGUGUCCCGUCCGCAAGACCGUCAGGCCUGUGCAGCUCACAGACCCCGGAAAGAUAAAGAGAAUCCGAGGCGUUGCAUAUUCAGUGAGGGUUUCCCCUCAGAUGGGCAACAGGAUUGUAGAGUCAACUCGAGGUAUCCUGAACCACUUCAUUCCAGACAUCUACAUUCACACAGACCAUAUGAAGGGUGCCAACUCCGGAAAUUAUUGCAGGUCGCCGGGUUUUGGUCUGACGCUGGUGGCGGAGACCCUGGAAGGCUGUUUCCUAUGUGCCGAAAUGUCGUCGACGCCGCAGGGUCGAGGAGAGCCCGUUCUGCCCGAGGAACUCGGCCGCGACUGCGCUAAGCUGCUGCUGGAGGAAGUGUACCGGGGAGGCUGUGUGGAUUCGUCCAAUCAGAGCCUGGCACUGCUCCUGAUGACCCUUGGCCAACAGGAUGUUUCAAAACUUUUACUCGGACCCCUCUCGCCAUACACGAUGGAGUUCCUCAGACACAUUAGAGAUUUUUUCCAGAUGAUGUUCAAAAUGGAAGUUCGCAAGCCCAUAGAGGAUGAACGGAAAGGGGGGGAUAAAGUCCUCAUGACGUGUGUCGGAGUAGGUUACAGCAACUUGAACAAAACUCUGAAAUAAAAGUGCACAUACUGCAAAUGUCUUUAAUUUGACUGUCCUGAACAAAAAGACAGAGAUGAUCAAUGAAAUUCAUUUCAAUAAUUGCGCUUUGAAAAGCACGUGCGUUCCUUUUCCACGACUCCGCCUAUGGGAAAAGCCCCUUUUCAAAUUCCAGCAGUUUGUCUGUCGUUGCAGGAAUUUGGGAGUUAGUCUUGACCACAAAGAUGUUUCAGGGCGUCACCGUAGCUGCCUGAUACUUCAGACUGCCAAAGAAAGUUGAAAAUGAGUCAAGGAAAUGCGGCCGAAUGUGUUUUGUACGUGCAAUAUUUACCUCCAGCAUGGAGUAGAGUGAAUAUCCGAACAGCUUCUUGAACUCCGCCCUAAUGUCCAGCAAGUCCAUUUCGGAGCGACUUACCAGUAUCCGGGUCAGUGUGGACUCUGUGGUUCCUAAACCCUUAAAAGACAUUUUAGAAUGGAAGCCAAAGCAAAUAGGUUCUCUUUCAUCAGCCAUUGUUGCAUUUCAAUUUCAACCGACGUUGCACAUUCCCCCAACAAGCGAUAGGCUUCAAAUUCCUAUCUGAUGACAAUGUGAUCGUCUACUGUGGCUUAACCUAACCAAAUGUUUUGGGCUUUUGUGAAUUGGACGAAGCUCACCUUCAUGCUCUUGAAAAGCCUUUCUGCGAGGUACGCCGGGACGUUCUUAACACAUUUGACUGAAUGAGGGGAGGGGGGAAAAAAAUCCUUUUCAAGUUUCUUGUAAACUAAACUGGGAAAAUGAAACGUCCUACUUGUGUUCCAAAGGCUAAUAAAAUGCGUCGGUGCCAUACUCACCAACAGCCACCAGAAGCUCUUCCAGGUUUCCGGACAUUUCGCUCUCGAUGCUCUCCUGCAGGGUCCUCUUGCUUAUGCUCUUGUACUCCACCAGAGCUGUUCAAACAACAUGGAUGUUCUGUUCUUUUGCUGACAGUGUGCCAUGAGAGAUCUCCAGAUGCGCAGUGGUGCUAUUAUUACUACUGCAAGUAAUCUCUUUAAAGGGGAAUGAACUAAUCAAACAAUACAGGCUCAAAGGUUAAAGGAAAUUGUGAAAGUUAUGCUACAUUCUCCGUUUAACCUUCUAAACUAUUGUUGGCGCACUGGAAUUUGAUGCCCUAAUCUCAGUCAUCUUUUGCACGGUGGACCUACUGUAAGUAAUAGUUCUCGCGCAACUGCACCCUAAACUGGAAGUUACUUGUAAGUGCCAGAGAAAUUUUGUGUACUGUACUAAGUAUCCAGUAUCUAAAGGCUUUUCAUGCAUUUUAAAAAUGUGUCAUCAUUGAAAGUCAUCAUUUGACUUUUCAGUUAGUCACCUGCCAACGCCACCGUACGCUCUAUUGACUAGUUGUCGGAAAAAAUACCAUUUGAAGAAAAUUUUAACAUUGGCCAUUGUGUGUCCCUUACAAAAGACGACUUACUCUGUCUGAGCUGAGGAACACUCCUGUGGCACAGGAUGUCGAUGAACCUUCCCUCGUCAGUUCCCCAUUUCUUCUCUCCCGCUUCAUACAAAGCCUAAGGGAGCAAUGGGAACAUGGCCUGAGUUUUGGGGUUUAUACAUGCAGUUAACAAAUACUAGACCUUCUCAAAAAAUAAGCCUAUUGUAAAAAAGGUCAUUAUUUUCUGUAGCGUACCGACAGACAGAUUUUCAUAUAUUUUGCAUUCAUUACACACAACUGAAGUCGUUCAGGCCUCUUAUUGUUUUAAUAUUGAUGAGUUAGGGAUUUUUGCUUUUUCUUGACUUUUUUUGCCAAUCUCAAAAAAUGAGCAUAUUUGGUCCGACCAACACAAAAAAGUAUUUUCAAUACAAAACAAGUCAACCUUCAAUGAAUUAUAUCAGCAAUGCACUCAUUACUUGGUCGGGAAUCCUUAUGCCGCAAUGAGUGCUUCAAUGCGGCGUGGCGUGGAGGCGAUCGGCCCGUGGCACCGCUGAGGUGUUACGGAGGCCCAGGAUGCUUCGAUAGCUGCCUUAAGCUCAUCCACAGUGUUAGGUCUGGUGUGUCUCAACUUCCUCUUCACAGUAUCCCACAGCUUCUCUAUGGGGUUCAGGUCAGGAGAGUUGGCAGGCCAAUUCAGCACAGUAAAGCCAUGGUGAGUAAACCAUUCAUUUACCAGUGGUUUUGGCACUGAGCAGGUGCUGAAAAAGGAUAUCUUCAUCUCCAUAAAGCUUUUCAGCAGAUGGAAGCAUGAAGUGCUCCAGAAUCUCCAGAUAGCUAGCUGCAUUGAUAGUAGACCAACACCAGCAGCUGACAUGGCACCCCAGACCAUCACUGACUGUGGGUACUUGACACUGGACUUCAUUUCCUUCUCCCCAGUCUUCCUCCAAACUCUGGCACCUUGAUUUCCGAAUGACAUACAAAAUUUGCUUUCAUCUGAAAAAAGUACUUUGGACCACUGAGCAACAGUCCAGUGCUUCUGCUGCCGGCACCUGUAGUCCAUUUCCUGUGCACGGUGGCUCGGGAUGGUUCUACUCCAGACUCUGUCCACUGUUUCUGCAGGUCCCCCAAGGUCUGGAAUCGGCCCUUCUCCACAAUCUUUCUCAGGGUGCGGUCACCUCUUCUGGUUGUGCAGCGUUUCCUGCCACACUUUUUCCCUUCCCACUGAGGUGCCUUGAUACAGCACUCUGGGAGCAGCUUUUUCGCUCAGAAAUUUCUUUCUGUGUCUUAGCCUCUUGCUUGCGGGUGUCAACGAUGCCCUUCUGGACAGCAGCCAGGUCAGGUCGGCAGUCUUGAUUGCGGUUUUGAGUCAUGAACCAGGCUGGGAUUUUUUAAAAGCCUCUGGAAUCUUUCGCAGCCGUUGAUUCAGAUGAUUAGGUUAGUAGCUUCUUUAGAGUACCAUUUCAUGAUAUGUUAUUUUUUUGAGAUAGGGAUUUUUGGUUUUUCUUGACUUUUUUUUUUUUUGUGCCAAAAUCAUCAAUAUUAAAAUAAUAAAAGGCUUGAACUACUUCAAUGGUGUGUAAUGAAUCUAAAAUACAUGAAAGUCUAAUGUUUAUCAGUACAUUACAGAAAAUAAUGAACUUUAUCACAAUAUGCAAUUUUUUUUAGAAGGACCAGUAUAUAGCCUCAUGUGAGCUCAUGCUGCUAGUUCUGGCGGAAACCGCUUGUUAUGGGUGUCGAGUCCAGUACUUUGGCAUCCGCUUUGGCUUUGGCCGCGUCAACAUAGGGGCUCUCGUCUCUCUUCCCCUAUUAGGAUGAACAUAGUAUCAGCACUAUUCACCUAAAAUCUGACUUUAUAGUUGGAAUCGAUCAAUCUCGCCUCUGCCAAGAUGAGCAGCGCUUUGCCGUAAUCUCCAGAGACCUCCGAUUUGAGGUCGUGAAUCAGCAUUUUUCCCGUUUCUGCGACGCACAUUGCACCGUGAACCGCUGUCGGAGAAUUUCCAGGGGUCCGAAUGAGAAUCUCUUAGCUUAUCGGACGCUCACCUGUCAGAUAAACUUCCGACAUGGCUUUGAUCUGUCUGUUGGAUCUGGAGGCAAAGAGUUCCGUCAGGGUGCUCUCGGUGGUCCCUGCGCCCUAGUCAAAUGACACAUCCUCAAUGUACACUGUCAUUUCAGAUUUUAAAGGAGACAAUUGCUUGUUCACACAUAGCUUGGUUGCUGCCUGCCCACACAUCUUGUGGCAUCUAUGUUGAAAUGAUUGAGGAGCUUCAUUUAUACAAAUAAGAUGCCACAGGUAACUUUGUAAAAACAAUACAUUUUCCUUAUGUCUGAGGGUUCCAUCAACCCUUAAAAAAAAAAAAAAAAAAAAAAAAAAGCAAUUCACCUCACCUUGAUGGCUUUAAUGACUUCGUGGCAGUCGUAGACGGCAGGAGGUUUCACUAAGGCCACCAACAAAUCCUCAAAAUAUCCAUGAGUGUCACCCUCCAGGUCAGCGAUUAAUGUCUGAUUGGGGACAAAAUCGACUUGACCUCGCUCGCCAUCUUUGUCACCGUACUUCACACUCACCCUUCCCGUGGCUUUGUGGUAGGCCGUAGCGAUGAGCUGCCGCUGAGCGUUACUCCUUUGGGUCAGAACCUCAACGAGCGUCUUUUCUGUUGUGCCUGCAAGAGAGACGACAGAUCGGUCUCCCAAAGACGACAUAUUGGUGAGACGUCAUCGUACCGAUGCCCUCUAUUGCCUUCCUUAGAGCAGCCACAUCCUCUUCCACUUUAAAAUUGGCCUUGUCCUUCACAGUCCCCCUUGCGUUGGACUAAUUGGAAUAAACACACGACAUCGAACAUAAACAAGGUUUAGACUUGUCAGUUUGAUCUGGCCCAGCGAGCAAAGAGCAAGACUUGCACUUUUUCCUCCCUAAAAUUGCUCGUGUAAAAGGUAUACAUUCACGUUAGGGCUGAACGAUAUUGGAAAAAAGUUACAGAGCGACUUUUUGGGGGUUUGCGAUUAUACUGUAUAUUGCAUUAUUAAAACUAGAAGAAUUUUCACCAGAUGACUUGAAUAGCUUUGUUUGGGAAGACUUUGGUUGACUCACCAUGAUCACAUUGUAUUCAUAUAAUAUAAUACAGUUUACUCCAGGCUAAGGGGAUUCAUCUGUGAAUUAUGAAGAUUGAUGAAUAUAAAAGGGGUCCAGGAGUCCGUGUCUGCUUUUAUGAAGCAAAACAAAAGUUAACGUAGUCAAAAAAGAACAAGGCCAUCGCACGUUCUGCGAUAGGACCAUUGCGCAAGCACAUAUCGCGAUGGCUUGCCUGGUACACCAGACUCACCGCUGUUCCAGCUAUUGAGUCUGGCCACCAUUCAGCGGAUACAAUUUCCAGGGCGGAGCAAGCCACAGCAAACAGACAGCGGAGCGGACCAAUCAGCGACGGGCAGACGUGACGUUAGUAAAACGACGAGGGCAGGACGAGGGACUUGCGCGCGGAAGUAAACAUACGAGGAGAGCGGAGUUUAUUCAACAUGGCUAGCGCCAGACAGACUGUUGUCAAUGACUCGCGUCGAUGUGUUUUUGGUCAUUUAAAACUGAUUUGACCGUGGAUUGGAACAUAUUCUCGGCUCUCCCGUUCACCAUCUGUGUUGUCGUGGAGACGACUUCCGACGCGCAAGAGUGACGUUGCUCGUUAAGAACACGUCACGCAAAUAAACAAAUCUGAUUUGUCGAUUGAUUUUGUACCUGCUCGAGAGGCCGUUAAUGGGCUGGUUCCCAGACUUUUCUCUCAGUGUUUGAAAAAUACAGGGAGAACAGUCUGGCCGUGCCAGGCAAUGUGAUGGCAAUCUUCAAACGAUAUAUUGUGCAGGCCUAAUUCACGUCAUUGAAUAGUCAUUUAUUAUGAAGCAUAAAUGUAUCCAAUUGAACACCUUUACAUAUACUAUAUAGUUAUAUAUUUACAUAUAGCAUAACAGGUUUUAUGUUAAUAUCAUUUAUUUCAAAUCUACCUCAUCCAGAAAUGACCAGGCCAGUUUAUAUUUUAUUUCAUAGCACGAUCUAAAUCAAUUGAAUUGAGCUUACUGUCACAUUCAGUGAGGAUGGAGAGUCCAACAGCAAAUCCAAAUCGUCCUGCAGUGAUGAGAAAAGAAGAAAGCGUGAUUCCACUCAUUUUAUCCGACAGCCUGGCCCUUGUCCCAAGCUACUCACCCACACGGACAUGUUUACGCUGGUAUAUUUCAAGUUUUGCGCUACUGCGGAGGAGAACAGGAGACAGGAGAUCAACUUUUUCAACCGAAUCAACUUCCGUAAACUUUUCUCAUUCCAAUGGAAUAUUCCAUGUUAGCGCCAGCGUGGGUUUGUUAGUCCGUAGAGUAUGAACGGUGUAGCCUACCUGUUUUAAACUUGAGCAGUUAGAGAAAAGGCGCCAAUUUGUGUUAAAUGAACAACAGAAGACAGUUCUUGUCUCCCGCAAAUAGGAUGAGGGGCUCGAUACUAUCGAUGGUGAAAUUCCAGAAUGUCUCACACGCACUUUUCGCGGAUGUGGAAAAGGACCACGCCCAUCAUAGGGGAGUUGUUGAGUCAUCCUUUUUUUCCCCCCGAUGGCAACUGUUCAACAUUCUUUUAAAUCAACAUUAACGGUUUUCUAGUUGUAAAACCCUGUCCAAUUCUGUGGAAAAAGAGUCAAAUGUCCAAAAUAAAAGCGAGGAAAUUGCCUAAUCUCUGUUGCAUCAAUUCCAGUUGUUUUGAACGCUAAUGAGGUGACAUUUAUAGCUGGAAAUGAUAUGAUUUAAAUCAACGAUUUAUUGGAAAAUACAUUUCUGGAUUAUCCACGUGGAUUUCGGAAGAGUUUCGGUAUUCUUCGUCAGGAGCAUUGUAUCGGUUUUGUACCAACUUGCGACAUCUAGAGGUUAAAUGAGAAACAACAGUCGUGUCAUUUACCUUUUCAUCGAUUUUUUGAUUUUUUUUUUUACAUACAAAAAUGUUCUUUUAAUCAUAUUGCAACUAAGUAACAUUGAUCAUCCACACCUGUAUGUGUAUGAACUAUUAAAAACUAAUUGCUAGAUUUACAUAGACGGGUAUUUACAGUGAAAGGUUUUUUGGAGGGUAGGGCCAGGGGUGUCAUGGGUGCGAUGACGUCACUGACACGAAACGCGCUCCACACCAGUUACUGCUUUCGGUCACAUUGCAACACGUAAAAUAAUAACUUUUAAAGUUUCAUCAUGAUUCUUUAAAAAAUACAGCAGUAGAAAACAUUUGCGGUCGUACCUAUAAUGCAACUUAUUUUUGUGAUACCUUUCAACUUUUACUCUUGUUUAUCUUUGUCCAAAAAGGCCUGUUACUUUUUCCUAACCUCACCAUAUGUCCAAAGAUUUCAGGGGUUUGAAUUCAAUUCAAUUUGGGUUCUUAUUGGGCAGAACAAUUGAUGGGAUGUGAACCAGAAAGUGAUUCAGAGAAGCACGAUAUCCCCCAUUAAUGUUUUUUUUUUUUUUUUUUAAAGAAAAAUCGUUGGAUGUUGCUGUGUCUACUUUUUAAUGGAUUAGAAUUCGCCUAUUUUGCAUAAGGUUUAUUAAUUCAUGACAUUAGAAAAGCUUUUACAACAUAUAUAUUUUUAAUAACAUUAAUGUUUGAGCAUGGCCAACUCUCCCCCCCCACCCCCCACCUUAACCCUUUCAUGCACAAAUAAUAUCUUCCUUAAGUGUCUUUAGGACCCUGUAGGGAAUCGGGAUGAUCAGAAAUCCUCAUCUGGCGACUUUUGUGAUCUGUGUCCCCGAAAGCGGCCAGGAUAAGGAAGCACCAAAAUACAUCAGGUGCCUCAGACCCACAAGAAACGUAAGGAAGGCCACGGAUAAGCAGAACUACUGAUAAGCGUGGCUUCCUCCGACACGCCACUAGGGAAUGUGACCUAGGAGCACCAACGUUGCCCUUAUACACCACGCAUUCCCAGGAGUAGUGUUCCCUAUUGAACCAGCCAGUGCUCCUCUGGGAUGGGUUAAAAGACGAAAGAGAAUUCCUGGACCGGUGAAGGAGGUUCGCACGCACGGGCAGACGCACACGUGAAAAAUAUCAACCUGGCGGGCCCAAAACAUACUCGGAUGUACCAUGUCACUUUAACAGGGGCCAAAAGAGCGGUUCCCUGGCAAGCAUAUACGAUGAAAGGAAUCGUCUUCGCCUCCGAGCCUGGGAACAGAGGAACCAAGAAACCAGCCAAGCCAAAGAACUCUGGGCUGAGAACGUGCCGCUUUUUGGGCACCCGUACAAAGUA